AGGAGUUUGAUCUUCGGCUCAGAACGAANGCUGGCGGCAGGCCUCAUACAUGCAAGUCGUACGGUUAAAGCUCCUUCGGGAGUGUAUAAAGUGGCGAACGGGUGAGUAACAGGUGGAUAAUCUGCCUUCUGGUGGGGGACAACAGUUGGAAACGACUGCUAAAACCGCAUGUCAUUAUCGGCACCUCGGUGCUGAUAAAAAAAGACGCUUCGGCGUUGCCAGAAGAUGGGUCCGCCCCCCAUUAGCUAGUUGGUGAGAUAAUAGCUCACCAAGGCUAAGAUGGGUAGCCGAGCUGAGAGGUUGAUCGGCCACACUGGAACUGAGACACGCCCCAGACACCUACGGGUGGCAGCAGUAGGGAAUAUUGCGCAAUGGGCGAAAGCCUGACGCAGCCAUGCCGCGUGAGUGA
rnacentral:rRNA from 1 species